rnacentral:rRNA from 1 species
UACGGAGGGUGCGAGCGUUGUCCGGAAUCACUGGGCGUAAAGGGUGCGUAGGCGGCCGUGCAAGUCUGGCGUGAAAGCCCCGGGCUCAGCCCGGGAAGUGCGCUCGAAACUGCGCGGCUCGAGUGCCGGAGGGGAGAGUGGAAUUCCUGGUGUAGCGGUGAAAUGCGUAGAUAUCGGGAGGAACAUCAGUGGCGAAGGCGGCCCUCUGGUCCAGUACUGACACUCAAGUGCGAAAGCGUGGGGAGCAAACAGGGA